CCUACGGGGGCUGCAGUGGGGAAUAUUGGACAAUGGGCGAAAGCCUGAUCCAGCCAUGCCGCGUGUGUGAAGAAGGCCUUCGGGUUGUAAAGCACUUUCAGUGGGGAAGAAAGCCUUGGGGCUAAUACCCUCGAGGAAGGACAUCACCCACAGAAGAAGCACCGGCUAACUCCGUGCCAGCAGCCGCGGUAAUACGGAGGGUGCGAGCGUUAAUCGGAAUUACUGGGCGUAAAGCGCGCGUAGGCGGUCUGAUAAGCCGGUUGUGAAAGCCCCGGGCUCAACCUGGGAACGGCAUCCGGAACUGUCAGGCUAGAGUGCAGGAGAGGAAGGUAGAAUUCCCGGUGUAGCGGUGAAAUGCGUAGAGAUCGGGAGGAAUACCAGUGGCGAAGGCGGCCUUCUGGACUGACACUGACGCUGAGGUGCGAAAGCGUGGGUAGCAAACAGGAUUAGAUACCCCUGUGUC
rnacentral:rRNA from 1 species